GAUGAACGCUAGCGGCAGGCCUAAUACAUGCAAGUCGAGGGGUAACAUGAGAGCUUGCUCUUGAUGACGACCGGCGGACGGGUGCGUAACGCGUAUGCAACCUACCCACAACAGGGGGAUAGCCCGGAGAAAUUCGGAUUAAUACCCCAUAAUGCAGGGGUACCGCCUGGUACUAUUUGCUAAAGAUUUAUCGGUUGAGGAUGGGCAUGCGUCUGAUUAGUUAGUUGGUGAGGUAACGGCUCACCAAGACCACGAUCAGUAGGGGGUCUGAGAGGAUGAUCCCCCACACUGGCACUGAGAUACGGGCCAGACUCCUACGGGAGGCAGCAGUAGGGAAUAUUGGGCAAUGGGCGAGAGCCUGACCCAGCCAUGCCGCGUGAAGGAUGAAGGCCUUCUGGGUUGUAAACUUCUUUUAUACAGGAAGAAAAAGGUCAUGCGUGACCAAUUGACGGUACUGUAUGAAUAAGCACCGGCUAACUCCGUGCCAGCAGCCGCGGUAAUACGGAGGGUGCAAGCGUUGUCCGGAUUUAUUGGGUUUAAAGGGUGCGUAGGCGGUACGCUAAGUCAGUGGUGAAAUCCCGCAGCUCAACUGCGGAACUGCCAUUGAUACUG
rnacentral:rRNA from 1 species